rnacentral:rRNA from 1 species
UCCGUAGGUGAACCUGCGGAAGGAUCAUUCGCAUGCGAUCCAGAGUACUUGGUGCACAUCUCGGUGUGAGCUUCUUCUCAGGGAUGAAGAUUGUAUCGCUGCCCCUGGGGAGUUAGCUCGAAGGUGGCAGAGGUUGCGGUGGGUGUGCUUGCCACAUUCUGCUCAGCCACUGUCACCACAAACUCACUUCUUUUCGUUUUUGAAGAAUGUCCUGUCUGGCUUUCUCGGGGGCCUGGUCCCUCGUGAUUGUUACUCUUAUUACACCUUUCAGCGAUGGAUGUCUGGGCUCGAACUUCGAUGAAGGGCGCAGCGAAGUGCGAUGAGCGUUGUGAAUUGCAGAAUUCAGUGAAUCAAUAGGGUCUUGAACGCAUACUGCGCUCUCGGGAUAUUCCUGAGAGCAAGUCUGCUUCAGAGUCUGAUCCAUUUUCUGACUUCGAGAUAGUCUGUCCCUCGUGGCAGCCUCGUCGUGCGUGCUUGUGCGUCAUAGUUGCUACUGGCGCAUGAAGUGUAUGAGGCUCUUUCGCGAAGCGCAAUGGAACAAGGGCAGUUUACUGGCUCGUGCAUUGCGUGGAGUGCGGGAGCGGUCUAGGCCUCUUCCCCGGGUUCUCUUGGGAAGUUGGCUUUACUGGCAUCGUCCUUUCCAAAGACAUGAAGUUAGACUAGAAAACCUGCUGAAUUUAAGCAUAUCAAUA